AUUUCAUUUCGGUGGGAUGGUUAGUGGCGAACGGGUGAGUAACGCGUAGACAACCUACCUCUUAGAUGGGGACAACAUCGCGAAAGCGGUGCUAAUACCGAAUGAAGUGACUUCCCUGCAUGGGAGAGAUACUAAAGGUGGCCUCUAUUUAUAAGCUACCACUGAGAGAUGGGUCUGCGUCUGAUUAGCUUGUUGGUGAGGUAAUGGCUCACUAAGGCGACGAUCAGUAGCUGGUUUGAGAGGACGACCAGCCACACUGUGACUGAGACACGGCCCAGACUCCUACGGGAGGCAGCAGUGGGGAAUUUUCCGCAAUGGGCGAAAGCCUGACGGAGCAAUACCGCGUGAGGGAUGAAAGCCUGUGGGUUGUAAACCUCUUUUCUCAAGGAGGAAAUUUUGACGGUACUUGAGGAAUAAGCAUCGGCUAACUCUGUGCCAGCCGCCGCCGUAA
rnacentral:rRNA from 1 species